rnacentral:sRNA from 1 species
UACAAUAUUCGGCUAUAAGGGCGGUCGGCUAAUCUCCCAGAAGGGAGGUGAUGCCCAUGGAGGUCAAAGAUGCACUUUCCUUAAUGUUCAUGUUCGGUAUGUUCAUUUUGGCAUUGCUCACCUACAUGAAAAAGAAAUAGACCGCCCUGGUUAGGAUAACGGUCUAUUUCCGACCCAUCUUACAUGGCCGACUGCUCUUUAUGCAGUUAUUGUACUGGGAGCCGUGUUACCGCACGGCCC